UGUCGUGACUUUUCUACCAAAGUGCAAUAUUGUUGUGUGAUUUUACUUUAUUCACGUGCUUUAGAUGGAUGACAACACAAAUUACUAUCAAGAUAGAUAAACAGAAGUUAAAUUUUAUUUACAAUUUAAGUAUUCAAAUAUUGUAUGCUUUGUCAUUACAUAAUUCAACCGACUUGAUCUACAACAACCUUUUAUCGGGAACCAGGUUCUGUAUAAACCAACAUCCUACAGACACUUGGCUGGCCAACACUAGCAACACGCAGACAAGGAGUCAGGCUCAUACUCCUGUAUAAGAUCCUGCAUGGAGAAGCAUCAGUCAUUAUCCCAGAUUACAUCAGGAGACCAACUCUAACAACCAGACAAUAGUCAAUACCACAGCCACAGAGACCGGUUUUCCAGAGUCAGCACUUCAACGGAUGCCUAUAAAUACAGUUUCAUCCCCAGAACAAAUUUUUGACUGGAACCAAUUACAUGAAAGUGCCAUCCAAGCCCCCACAACAGACGCCUUCCGGGUCUGUGUGUGGCAGUUCCUGGCGUAACUAUUGAUACCUGAUUUUAACCCUGUAUAGACUAUAGUUGUUGCAAACUCACAUAAUUUUAUUUGAUUUUGUUCCUGUAAAUACACAAGUUUUUUUUUAUUUUUAACUUUGCGAGUACUGGUUGACACACCCGCACAGUAUAUCUGUGUUAUGGAAAUUUCAACUGCAGAUUAACCACAAAAUAUAGAAGAAGAAGUACAAUAAACACUAGACAACAGGAAUGACAGGAUAUAUCUUUUGGGGGAUGGAUGGUAACUGAAUCAAUACGAAUAGCCUCAUUGAAUUUGAAAAAAGCUGCAAAUGAUAUCAGUAAUAAAAGAUUGUUAGUGUGCAGUGUGCAGUGUGCAGACAGUGGUUAAACAGAAGUUAACAUUCUAUUAGUUUUGGGAUUUUACAAUCAAUGCCAAAAUGAAUGAUAAUGCUAGAGGAAAUAAUAGGAGAAAAAGGGACCUGUGUGGUAAAAACUUCCUAAAAGUCGUCCUUUAUGUGUUCAACUUUUUCUUUUGGCUGACAGCCCGGUUAGCUUUCCUAGCAUUAGGGUUAUAUAUCAAGUUCCAGAAGCAUUCCUAUUUCAAUCUGCUAGGGAACAGUACUUUCCCUUUGGCAACAUACUAAUGCUACUAGGAACAGGAGCCUUUAUUAUCUUGUCAGGAAUCAUUUGUUGUACUGGGACAUGUAUAGAAAAUAGAUGUUUUAUGGUUAUGGUGAGUUAUUUCCCUUUGAACACAUUGUC